rnacentral:rRNA from 1 species
UUUCGCAAUGCCCGAAAGGGUGACGAAGCGACGCCGCGUGGGUGAGGAAGGCCCUCGGGUUGUAAAGCCCUGUCAGGAGUUAAGAAAUGUAAGUGCGCUAAUAUCGCAUUUAUUUGACGAAGGCUCCAAAGGAAGUCACGGCUAACUCUGUGCCAGCAGCCGCGGUAAUACAGAGGUGGCAAGCGUUGUUCGGAAUUAUUGGGCGUAAAGAGCACGUAGGUGGGUUUGCAAGUCAGAUGUGAAAGCCUUCUGUUCAACGGAAGAAUUGCAUCUGAAACUGCGAGUCUUGAGUGUAGGAGGGGAGAAUGGAACUUCUGGUGGAGCGGUGAAAUGCGUAGAUAUCAGAAGGAACGCCGGCGGCGAAAGCGAUUCUCUGGCCUAUUACUGACACUCAGUGUGCGAAAGCUAGGGGAGCAAACGGGAUUAGAUACCCCGGUAGUCCUAGCCGUAAACGAUGGGCACUAAGUAGAGGGGUUUUA